GUCCUACGUAUGUCGACCCAAAUCUUUUGGACGACUAUUUCUUCUAGUGACCUGUGGUGAUUUUUUUUUAAAUAUAUGAAGAAAGAAAAGAAAUUAAAAGAACAAAGAUGAACAAAACAAACAUUUUGUGUGGUGCAUCACUCUAGUCGGCAGAUAUCAAAAGGAGUCUUUCAGAAAUUAUAUUGCAAUAUUUUUACUGCUUUUUGAAUUUUAUAGACAGUUGCUUCAUAUUUGUAGCUAGAUGUAUGAUAUUUGUUGUUGAUUGUUAUUGCAUUUUUUUCCUAUGAAAAAAUGUGAGAUUUUUUUUUUAAUUUUUGCAGUCAUGUAAUUAUGAUUUGUUUAAAAUGAUGUGUGUUGAAUUUUGAUUUUCUGUAGGAUGAUUCAAGUAAAAUUUUAUCAUUCCAGUUAUUUUUCAAUUUCAUUUUCAUCGUCGUCAGUGUAUAUAAUUUCAUUUCUUUUUUUGAAUCAAACUUUCAUCGGAUAGAAGAUGGACGGAUGAAAGAUUUAAUAUAUGAAGGUGCGCAUGUGUGUGAUAUUGUAAACAGACGAAUGAAAAAAAAAAAAAGAAUAUUGAGUAUGUGAUGUAAAUUAUUCAUGUCUUUACAUUUUACAUUUUGUACAGUCAUAUACAUGUGUAUAAUGACAGAUUGGAUCUUUAAAAAUGAAAAAUAAAAGACGAAACAA
rnacentral:misc_RNA from 1 species